AUUAGAUACCCUAUUAUUUUUAUUGUAAAUUUUAUAAAACUGGAGUAUUAAUAGUUAAGAUCUUUAAACUUAAAGAAUUUGGCGGUAUUAUAGUCUAUUUAGAGGAAUCUGUUAUGUAAUCGAUAACCCACGUUGAACCUUACUUAUAUUAAUUCUUGUAUACCGCUGUUUUAGAAUAUAUUUUUAGAUUAUUUUCUUAAUAUUUUAUUAGUUUAUACUUCAAGUCAAGGUGCAGUUAUAUAUAAGUUGAAUAAUGGAUUACAAUAAAAUUUAUUUAUUAUGAAUAUUUAUUGAAAUAUAAAUUGAAGGUGGAUUUAAUUGUAAUUAUUUAAAGAUUAUUAAAAUGAUUUAUAGCUCUAUAAUAUGUACACAUCGCCCG
rnacentral:rRNA from 1 species